rnacentral:rRNA from 1 species
AACGAACGCUGGCGGCAUGCCUAACACAUGCAAGUCGAACGAGACCUCCGGGCCUAGUGGCGCACGGGUGCGUAACGCGUGGGAACCUGCCCUUAGGUUCGGAAUAACUCCCCGAAAGGGGUGCUAAUACCGGAUAAUGUCUUCGGACCAAAGAUUUAUCGCCUUUGGAUGGGCCCGCGUUGGAUUAGCUAGUUGGUAGGGUAAAAGCCUACCAAGGCGACGAUCCAUAGCUGGUCUGAGAGGAUGAUCAGCCACACUGGGACUGAGACACGGCCCAGACUCGUACGCGAGGCAGCAGAGGGGUAUAUUGGACGAUGGGCGAAGGCCUGAUCCAGCAAUGCCGGGUGAGUGAUGAAGGCGUUAGGGUUGUAAAGCUCUUUUACCCGGGAUGAUAAUGACGGUACCGGGAGAAUAAGCACCGGCUAACUCCGUG